AGCUAUAAGUUCAUAUUUAUGGUUUAACCUGCCCAAUGUUAAAGAUUAAUGGCCGCGGUACCCUGACCGUGCUAAGGUAGCGUAAUCAGUUGGCUUUUAAAUGGAGUCAGGAAUGAAUGGGAUAACCGGGCUUAGCUGUCUCCUAAUUAUUUAAUUGAAUUUACUGAUCAAGUGAAAAAGCUUGAAAUUGGAAAAGGGACGAGAAGACCCUUAGAAUUUUUCUUAGAGUGAAAGUAUUUUUUCAUAAUUGUUUUGUUGGGGUGACAAAGAAAUAUUUACUAACUUUCUUUACUUUUAACAUGCCGAAUAAUUUUAAGCAAGAAUAAAUUACCUGAGGGAUAACAGCAUAAUUCCAUAGAUGAGUUUGUGACCUCGAUGUUGGACUAGGAAACUAGCAAGCUAGCCGUUUGUUGUGUGGGCUCUGUUCGAGCUUUAAUUCCU
rnacentral:rRNA from 1 species